UACGGAGGAUGCGAGCGUUAUCCGGAUUUAUUGGGUUUAAAGGGUGCGUAGGCGGACUGUCAAGUCAGCGGUAAAAUUGAGAGGCUCAACCUCUCCCCGCCGUUGAAACUGGUGGUCUUGAGUGGAUGAGAAGUACGCGGAAUGCGUGGUGUAGCGGUGAAAUGCAUAGAUAUCACGCAGAACUCCGAUUGCGAAGGCAGCGUACCGGCAUCCAACUGACGCUGAGGCACGAAAGCGUGGGGAUCAAACAGG
rnacentral:rRNA from 1 species